UGGGGAAUAUUGGACAAUGGACCAAAAGUCUGAUCCAGCAAUUCUGUGUGCACGACGACGUUUUUCGGAAUGUAAAGUGCUUUCAGUUGGGAAGAAAAAAAUGACGGUACCAACAGAAGAAGUGACGGCUAAAUACGUGCCAGCAGCCGCGGUAAUACGUAUGUCACAAGCGUUAUCCGGAUUUAUUGGGCGUAAAGCGCGUCUAGGUGGUUAUGUAAGUCUGAUGUGAAAAUGCAGGGCUCAACUCUGUAUUGCGUUGGAAACUGUAUGACUAGAGUACUGGAGAGGUAAGCGGAACUACAAGUGUAGAGGUGAAAUUCGUAGAUAUUUGUAGGAAUGCCGAUGGGGAAGCCAGCUUACUGGACAGAUACUGACGCUAAAGCGCGAAAGCGUGGGUAGCAAACAGGAUUAGAUACCCUGGUAGUCCACGCCGUAAACGAUGAUUACUAGGUGUUGGGGGUCGAACCUCAGCGCCCAAGCUAACGCGAUAAGUAAUCCGCCUGGGGAGUACGUACGCAAGUAUG
rnacentral:rRNA from 1 species